AGGGCAAGUCUGGUGCCAGCAGCCGCGGUAAUUCCAGCUCCAAUAGCGUAUAUUAAAGUUGUUGCAGUUAAAAAGCUCGUAGUUGAAUUUCGGGGACAGUAGAUUGGUCGUGCCACAGGUAUGUACUGGUCUUACUGGCUCCUCCUUCCUGAUGAACCGUAAUGCCAUUAAUUUGGUGUUGCGGGGAGACCGGACUGUUACUUUGAAAAAAUUAGAGUGUUUAAAGCAGGCUAACGCUUGAAUACAUAGCAUGGAAUAAUGAAAUAGGACGUUCGAUCUUAUUUUGUUGGUUUCUAAGAUUGACGUAAUGAUUAAUAGGGAUAGUUGGGGGCAUUAGUAUUCAAUUGUCAGAGGUGAAAUUCUUGGAUUUAUUGAAGACUAACUACUGCGAAAGCAUUUGCCAAGGAUGUUUUCAUUAAUCAAGAACGAAAGUUAGGGGAUCGAAGACGAUCAGAUACCGUCGUAGUCUUAACCAUAAACUAUGCCGACUAGGGAUCGGAUGAUGUUAAUUUUUUAAUGACUCAUUCGGCGCCUUACGGGAA
rnacentral:rRNA from 1 species